rnacentral:rRNA from 1 species
UACGUAGGGGGCAAGCGUUGUCCGGAUUUACUGGGCGUAAAGAGCGUGUAGGCGGCCAAGCAGGUCCGUUGUGAAAACUGGAGGCUUAACCUCCAGACGUCGACGGAAACCGCGUGGCUAGAGUCCGGAAGAGGAGAGUGGAAUUCCUGGUGUAGCGGUGAAAUGCGCAGAUAUCAGGAAGAACACCAAUGGCGAAGGCAGCACUCUGGGACGGUACUGACGCUGAGACGCGAAAGCGUGGGGAGCGAACAGG